UAACGAAGUGGUUGAUGCCAUGCUUCCAAGAAAAGCUUCUAAGCUUCAGGUAACCAGGAACCGUACCCCAAACCGACACAGGUGGUUGGGUAGAGAAUACCAAGGCGCUUGAGAGAACUCGGGUGAAGGAACUAGGCAAAAUGGCACCGUAACUUCGGGAGAAGGUGCGCCGGUGAGGGUGAAGGACUUGCUCCGUAAGCUCAUGCCGGUCGAAGAUACCAGGCCGCUGCGACUGUUUAUUAAAAACACAGCACUCUGCAAACACGAAAGUGGACGUAUAGGGUGUGACGCCUGCCCGGUGCCGGAAGGUUAAUUGAUGGGGUUAGCUAACGCGAAGCUCUUGAUCGAAGCCCCGGUAAACGGCGGCCGUAACUAUAACGGUCCUAAGGUAGCGAAAUUCCUUGUCGGGUAAGUUCCGACCUGCACGAAUGGCGUAACGAUGGCGGCGCUGUCUCCACCCGAGACUCAGUGAAAUUGAAAUCGCUGUGAAGAUGCAGUGUAUCCGCGGCUAGACGGAAAGACCCCGUGAACCUUUACUAUAGCUUUGCACUGGACUUUGAAUUUGCUUGUGUAGGAUAGGUGGGAGGCUUUGAAGCGUGGACGCCAGUUCGCGUGGAGCCAUCCUUGAAAUACCACCCUGGCAACUUUGAGGUUCUAACUCAGGUCCGUUAUCCGGAUCGAGGACAGUGUAUGGUGGGUAGUUUGACUGGGGCGGUCUCCUCCUAAAGAGUAACGGAGGAGUACGAAGGUGCGCUCAGACCGGUCGGAAAUCGGUCGUAGAGUAUAAAGGCAAAAGCGCGCUUGACUGCGAGACAGACACGUCGAGCAGGUACGAAAGUAGGUCUUAGUGAUCCGGUGGUUCUGUAUGGAAGGGCCAUCGCUCAACGGAUAAAAGGUACUCCGGGGAUAACAGGCUGAUACCGCCCAAGAGUUCAUAUCGACGGCGGUGUUUGGCACCUCGAUGUCGGCUCAUCACAUCCUGGGGCUGAAGCCGGUCCCAAGGGUAUGGCUGUUCGCCAUUUAAAGUGGUACGCGAGCUGGGUUUAGAACGUCGUGAGACAGUUCGGUCCCUAUCUGCCGUGGACGUUUGAGAUUUGAGAGGGGCUGCUCCUAGUACGAGAGGACCGGAGUGGACGAACCUCUGGUGUUCCGGUUGUCACGCCAGUGGCAUUGCCGGGUAGCUAUGUUCGGAAUAGAUAACCGCUGAAAGCAUCUAAGCGGGAAACUAGCCUCAAGAUGAGAUCUCACUGGAACCUUGAGUUCCCUGAAGGGCCGUCGAAGACUACGACGUUGAUAGGUUGGGUGUGUAAGCGCUGUGAGGCGUUGAGCUAACCAAUACUAAUUGCCCGUGAGGCUUGACCAUAUAACACCCAAGCAAUU
rnacentral:rRNA from 1 species